rnacentral:rRNA from 1 species
CAAGGCUUGACAUAUACAGGAAUAUGGCAGAGAUGUCAUAGCCGCAAGGUCUGUAUACAGGUGGUGCAUGGUUGUCGUCAGCUCGUGUCGUGAGAUGUUGGGUUAAGUCCCGCAACGAGCGCAACCCUCGUUCUGUGUUGCCAGCAUUUAGUUGGGGACUCACAGGAGACUGCCGGGGUUAACUCGGAGGAAGGUGGGGAUGACGUCAAAUCAUCAUGCCCCUUAUGUCUUGGGCUGCACGCAUGCUACAAUGGCUGGUACAAACGGCUGCAAUACCGCAAGGUGGAGCGAAUCCGAGAAAGCCAGUCUCAGUUCGGAUUGGGGUCUGCAACUCGACCCCAUGAAGUCGGAGUUGCUAGUAAUCGUAGAUCAGCAACGCUACGGUGAAUACGUUCCCGGGGCUUGUACACACCGCCCGUCACGUCACGAAAGUCGGUAACACCCGAAGUCAGUGCCCAACCGCAAGGAGGGAG